AAUAGAUACCCGGGUAGUCCACCCCGUAAACGUUGGGAACUAGUUGUGGGGUCCUUUCCACGGAUUCCGUGACGCAGCUAACGCAUUAAGUUCCCCGCCUGGGGAGUACGGCCGCAAGGCUAAAACUCAAAGGAAUUGACGGGGACCCGCACAAGCGGCGGAGCAUGCGGAUUAAUUCGAUGCAACGCGAAGAACCUUACCAAGGCUUGACAUACACCAGAACACCCUAGAAAUAGGGGACUCUUUGGACACUGGUGAACAGGUGGUGCAUGGUUGUCGUCAGCUCGUGUCGUGAGAUGUUGGGUUAAGUCCCGCAACGAGCGCAACCCUCGUUCUAUGUUGCCAGCACGUAAUGGUGGGAACUCAUGGGAUACUGCCGGGGUCAACUCGGAGGAAGUGGGGAUGACGUCAAAUCAUCAUGCCCCUUAUGUCUUGGGCUUCACGCAUGCUACAAUGGCCGGUACAAAGGGCUGCAAUACCGUGAGUGGAGCGAAUCCCAAAAAGCCGGUCCCAGUUCGGAUUGAGGUCUGCAACUCGACCUCA
rnacentral:rRNA from 1 species